rfam:Colletotrichum gloeosporioides Cg-14 contig04401, whole genome shotgun sequence.
GGCGUGGUGGCAGAGUGGUCUAAUGCGCAAGACUCGAAAUCUUGUUCUUUCGGGAGCGUCCGUUCGAAUCGGGCCCACGUCG